rnacentral:tRNA from 1 species
UAAUAAGAAACAAAUAUUUGUAGUUAGUUUCGACCUAAAAUUUUGGUGUUACACCCUUAUUUU